UGCUUGUGAAGAGUUCUCGGUUAGCUUUGCGUACUAUUUGCUCUCAUUGUGAGCACCCACUUCUCUUACAGCAAACCGAUCUUGAAGUCCAAUCCUUUUAUGAAGUGCAGAUUCUUCAUGUGGCUCGCUACCCAUAAACAUCGCCUCACAACAGAUAACUUAUAGCGCAGAGGGUUUGCCCCUUUUACGGGGUAUGUUAGACCUGCUCUCAGCCACCCAUCGCCAUAGGCUGCUUGCAGGUAGCCAGCGAGUGAAAGGAGAUGCCACCAGGGCCGUGCACGUGUUAUCCUAUGGCUGAGGUAGAUGUUCAUGUUAAGGGCUUUGGAGUUUUCCAGCUUUCACUUUAAAAAAACGUUGACCAACGGGGGAAUGAUCCCUCCCUUGGCUAUACGUUGUUAGGUAGGAUGAGACUUUCUCGGUUUAUUCGCCCCUGCUGCGAAAUUACCGCGCAUGAGGAUUCGAACCCGGGUGGGCUGGCUGCGCACUCGCUUGCCUUGCCACUGAGCUAGAGCUCAGUUCUCAGCUUUCACUUUUGAACCCUAGCGGCAUUGUUCAAAAAAAAAAACCACGGCAAUUUUAUUUUUAGACUAUGAAUUAAAAAAUUCAUUCACUUGUAGCUCAAACCGUGAACAAUUUAGCAUCAACGCGGGCAGGGAAAAACAUUAAUCACAACGCAGUCUGCUCAUCCUCGACAGAUCGAAUAUCUAAGCUGCACUCUGGAAUGACAUUGUUGCUAGGGAUGCAUAUGGACGGCGGAGCGCACUGGUGCAUCUAGACAGUGACAUUCGAGUCCCGGGUGAAGGUGCCAUUCCUGAUGUCUCUAAAUCCUAGCAAUGUCCUAAAUCCCCUCGUACGUACACCAUGGAUAACCUAUCACAAGUAGUAGUAUCCUCUUGUAUAGUCGCAUAACAUGGGAGUGAUGCUCUGCGGUUGGCUUAUAUCGUCUUCUCCUGCUAGAGUGGUGCAUGAAACUUCAAUCUUGUGCCCACUUUUUAAUUAUGUGCAUUUGUUAUCGUACUAUGUGUGGUUUUAAUUACGAUAGUAAUUUAUGGUUCACUUCUCAUGGAAAUGCCAGGCCUUUAUGUUGAGCUAAUUUAGAUCUUCUAUCAUUUUGAAACUUUUGGGCCAUUUUAGGUGGAAAAUAUUUGUCCGUGUAUUAUGAUAUAUACAUAAUCAAUGGCCAAAUGUUUUAGUAUUUGUUGCGACAUGGUUCAUUUUUCAAUGGUCUCCCACAGACUUUAAAUGCACCAACAAUUUUAUUUUAAAAAACUCAUGUAUCUAAACACCUUUUAGUGUAUAGAUGUUAGAAAUAUAAGAAUUUUUUAUACUGAUCUAGGGCUUGCCUUUCGUCGACAACACAUGCAUUUGCAUUAUUGUGUGAGCUGUCUGUCAGCUUGGUGGGUUGCUAUGAUCCUAACCUAUUGUAGAUUAGAUCACCCAAGUGAUUUUUAUCACCAUGGAGCUAUUAUUUUUUACUGCCACUUGGUUUUGCUUGUUGUCAUUUUUGUUCUUGUAGGACUGGAAAAAGAUAAGAAAUGAAGAAUUCUACCUAGGUUUAGUUCAGGGUUUUCUUUUUUAUUUCUUAGUUUAAUUCUUGUAAUGUGAUGAAUUUUGUGAAGACAAUGUAGUGUUGUUUAUAAUUAAUAAAAUUUAUUUUCUCUAUUCUUGUAUUAUUAUUUGUUGUAUUUGGUUGACAUGUAAUUUAGAAAUUUAUAAUUUGGAAUCCAAAUUUUCUUUUAUUUGAAAUUCAAAUUUGAGUUGAAUUCAAAUUGUUUCCCUCAAAACACAUAACUUCAAUAAAGGUCAUGUCGAAAUACAUCACAAUCCAUUAAUGACUAAACCCUAGUCAUCAGUUGAAAGGAAUUUUGAUCACUUCAAGGUUUAGUUUUUGGGGCAAAAAAAUUCACACAAUUUCAAAUGAAUGAAUGCAUAUGCGCAUAAUUCUAGUUAUAUCCCCCGUUUAGCCCUAAGUGUUGGGAUGUUACAACCAUCACACAAAAAGAAGCGAGAGGAUUUCCUAGAAUGUUUGGGAACAUCGAUUGCAUGCAUUGGGUAUGGAAGAUUUGCCCGUUUGCUUGGCAAGGAGUAUACAAAGGUCACACAGAAGAUUGCAUCCAACAGGUUCACCUCACAAGAUUGAGGAUUUGAGUCAGAGACAUGGGAUCGGGAUGCUUACCCGCACGGUGUUGCAUUGGCGCUGCAAGGGGUGCGCGGGGAGUGGGGGAAGCGAGCGGAGGUAGACGAGAAGAGGGCCGAAGCGGACGAUGGAGACGGGGAGAGGAGGCGCAGAGGGCGCAUGCAGUGGUUGGCCGGAGUGGGGAGGAAGCCAGCGGCGGUAGCUGGCGCGUGAGACGGGACCGCAGGGGAGGCGAGGGAAGCCUUGGGGAGGGGAGUUCAGUCCGCGCCUUUCCUCCCUCCUUAGCCACCCAUCACCAUAGGUUUGCAGGUAGCGACCGAGUGAGGAAGAUGCCACGAGGGCCGUGGACGUGUUAUCUUAUGGCUACGGCCUACGGUAGGUUCAUGAAGUCUUCCAUUUGUAGUCUAGCUAGCGGCAAUUUUAUUUUAAAUAUUUGUAAAAAUCCACACGGUAGAAAUGUACUACUCUCUCCGAUGCAAAUUAGAAUUAGGUAAAUGUUGCCUAAAAAUAUGCCUUGGUUUUUAAAUCAGUGACAAAUAAUUUGAGAGAGUACCUCUGUUUCAAAAUAAACUUGUCAUAACUUUAUCUAGAUACUGUGCUGAGACAGUUAAUUUUUUAUAGAACGGAGCCCAAAUGGUGACGGAUGGUAUGGACUCUUCCUCUAUUUAUGCAUCACUGAUCCGGAAAGGAAAACAUACUAAUCACAAUACAGUAUGUAUGGUCUCAUCUUUAACGGGUCAGAUUCUAAAGCUACACAUAGAGGACGUACACCUUAGGGAUGCAUAUGGGCACGGAGCUUACUACUGCAUCUAAACUGUAGCAUUGUAGUUGCUUGGAAAUAUAUUGUUCCUGCUGCCUCUAAAUCCUAGCAUGCCUUAAACAUCUCCGUACGUAUACAUAUGGACAAGGGCUGCUCCGUCAGCAGGGGCGCUAGGUUUGCCCAUAGAUACAGGUAACCGUAGAUAUUAUCAAACAUAAAUAGUAGUGAUCCUCUCAUGUGGUCGGCAUAACAUGGAUUCAUAUUCUUCCGGUGGCUUUAUAUUGUCUCCUCUCUCGAGAGUGGUACAUAACUACUAUACUAAACCUUAACCACUUCGAUUUUUCUCAUAAUUUUGGAUUAUUUUUUGGAUUAACGUGCAGCUGACACGUACAUGGUUUUCUGGUUGAUUUUCCUGUGUAGGUAACUGAUGUCCUCUUGCACUUUUUUUUGUUCCUUUCCUUUGGUGUGAGCUGCAGUUUCUUUGGGCCUGUGUAGACAUAACAUUUUUGGUUGAUGGUGGUGGAUGGUGGGCUCUGGCGCCGCUUUGACCUUCUGUCUCUCCACGUGCCUUUUUUAAUAAUAAUUCUGGAAGUCCCCAACCAGCUCACGUCUUGCAGAUCUUUUCUUUUCCUCUCUCCACACCUCAACACAAAGGCUGCGAGACGGGCGAGCUCCCGCAAGACACAGCCGCCGACCUCGGGUCUGGCGACGAUGAUGAGGAGGUGCUCCGCCCCUGCCGCCCACCUCCGUCUCCAUCUCCUCCCCUUCGCCUCAUGUGACCACCACCACUGCUGCAAACCCUAGCCAUAAUCCCUAUGUCUCCGAAUCCCACUCCUUUGCUGGAUUUCUGAGACGAGGAUGAGUUCAAGGGGAUCCAUGUCUCCGAGCUCCAAAAUCCGUCGCGUCCUCCACCACGUCAGAUUCCUCUGACGCGGACGCGGCACAGGCAGCGCCGGCCUUGCCAAGGAUCUCGGCCGAGCUCCUCUGCGCGUUCUCAGUUGAGAUCGUCUGCGUCAGCUUCCCUGCGAUAAGAGAGGAGGUGGCCUAGCAGUGGCGGAUUCAGGUUGAGCACGCUUUGGUUUGGCGAAUGAUGACGAUGAUAAUGACCAAAUCGACAAGCAGCAAUGGCUGGACGAGAUCCAGAGAACGACGACCAAGCGGCCUGAUGCAGCAGCGGCGGCACCUGCUCCGUUCGUGCACAACGCCAUGAGGUCUCAGAUCACCGGCGAGAUCAUUGUGGCAGCGGCUAGAUGGCCUACUCACUAGCCACACCAGGCGAAGCCUCGGUGAUUUCUGUCGUGAAGAUGGAGCCGAAGUGGCCCUCAAGCCACCCAUCUUCAAGAAACUAUGGAGAGAAAUUGGUUAGGAUGAACUUGAACAGGGCAAUGUGCUAUUGCAACUGGAGGAGGAUUGCCUCAAUGUUUACAGGAAGAAAGGAAAAGGCAAGCCGAC